AUGCGGAGGCGGUUCGUGAAUCUGGUGACGCGCAAUUGCGCCCAAUACGUCUAUUCGGUGCGCCACAUCGAUCCUUUCGACCAACUCUUCUACCGGUCAGCGAAGGAAGCGCUGGAGGCGGCGGAUGAAGCAGCUAGGAUGAAGGAUCCUUUUCCGGCGAUGCGGGCACUGCAGCUGCCGCACCCAGGAAUGAGCUUCAUCAACCCCUCCGGUGGUGGCAGCCUGGACAUGUUCGCUCUCUUCAGCCCCCGCGCCACCAGCGGAGGCAGGAUGAUCGCCGCCAACCCGGCCGGCGAGGCCGUGAUGUACGACGCCGACAGGCAGCUCGUCAGCACGCUGGGCCGCAUGAACGAGCGCAAGGGAGUCUACCCCAUGUGCCUGCACAUCGCGCACCCUGGCCGUGACCAAGACAGCUUGUACGUCAUGGACACGUACCCCGGGCCGGGCGACGAUGGAUGCUUCGAGGUCCUUGAGUACAUGCCCGAGUGCAGCGAGCUGAGCGACAUGAGGGCGGCCUGGCGCUGGCGGCUCCUCCCGCCGCCUCCCUUUGUCCGCCGACCUGGGUACAGACGACCCUCCUCUAUCACCGCCUACGCCGCCGUAGUCGACGGCAACGGGUGCUCCACCGUCUACGUGACAUGCGAGGGCAGCAUCGGCACCUACAGCUUUGAGACGGCACGCCUUGAUUCUCAUCAUCGUCUGGGGUGGACGCACUCGGAGGAAUGGAAGCAUGUCGGGAGGUGGUCGCUGCCCUUCAAGGGCGGAGCCCAGUACGUCCCUGAGUUCAACAUGUGGUUCGGCUUCUCGGCCUUCAGCCCCGGCCACCUGUGUGCACUGGACCUCUCUGCCAUGCACCAUGACCGACCGCCCACUGCGCUGCAAGUUUGGGAAAAUCUGAUCCCACCUGAGGUGGAGUGGAUGUGUAUUCCGGUGCGUUUCGAGCUUCUCAACCUGGGCGAUGCCAAGUUUCUCAUCGCCGGGACAUUUGAAGCAGAAACGACCGGUCAGCGGUUUGCUCUGCUCACAGGCGUAGAGAUGAUGCCUUGUGUGGGUGAUGAUCGGAGCCUCCAGAUGGUCAAGCACAAGUGCGUACGUUAUGCCUUCACGACUGAUGCCAUCGAGUGGGUGCUCUGA
rnacentral:rRNA from 1 species